AUUGAACGCUGGCGGAAUGCUUUACACAUGCAAGUCGAACGGUAGAGGGGCAACCCUUGAGAGUGGCGAACGGGUGAGUAAUGUAUCGGAACAUGCCCAGUCGUGGGGGAUAACGUAGCGAAAGUUACGCUAAUACCGCAUACGAUCUAUGGAUGAAAGCGGGGGAUCGCAAGACCUCGCGCGAUUGGAGUGGCCGAUAUCAGAUUAGGUAGUUGGGGGGGUAAAGGCCUACCAAGCCGACGAUCUGUAGCUGGUCUGAGAGGACGACCAGCCACACUGGGACUGAGACACGGCCCAGACUCCUACGGGAGGCAGCAGUGGGGAAUUUUGGACAAUGGGCGCAAGCCUGAUCCAGCCAUUCCGCGUGCAGGAAGAAGGCCUUCGGGUUGUAAACUGCUUUUGUACGGAACGAAACGCGCUGAGCUAAUACCUCGGCGUAAUGACGGUACCGUAAGAAUAAGCACCGGCUAACUACGUGCCAGCCGCCGCAGUAAAAC
rnacentral:rRNA from 1 species